CCAAUAGCGUAUAUUAAAGUUGUUGCAGUUAAAAAGCUCGUAGUUGAAUUUCGGGAUUGACACAUCGGUCGUGCCUUAAGGGGUAUGAACUGGUGUAGUCAAUUUCUCACCUUCUGGAGAACCGCGAUGCCCUUAAUUGGGUGUCGCGGGGAACCAGGACCUUUACUUUGAAAAAAUUAGAGUGUUUAAAGCAGGCAUUUUGCUUGAAUACAUUAGCAUGGAAUAAUAAAAUAGGACGGCAUGAUUCUAUUUUGUUGGUUUCUAGGAUCACCGUAAUGAUUAAUAGGGAUAGUUGGGGGCAUUAGUAUUCAAUUGUCAGAGGUGAAAUUCUUGGAUUUAUUGAAGACUAACUACUGCGAAAGCAUUUGCCAAGGAUGUUUUCAUUAAUCAAGAACGAAAGUUAGGGGAUCGAAGACGAUCAGAUACCGUCGUAGUCUUAACCAUAAACUAUGCCGACUAGGAAUCAGACGAUGUUAAUUUUUUAAUGACUCGUUUGGCACCUUACGG
rnacentral:rRNA from 1 species